GAGGAAUAUUGGUCAAUGGGCGCAAGCCUGAACCAGCCAUGCCGCGUGCAGGAAGACGGUCCUAUGGAUUGUAAACUGCUUUUAUUUGGGAAUAAACUCCGGUACGUGUACCGGCCUGAAGGUACCAAAUGAAUAAGCACCGGCUAACUCCGUGCCAGCAGCCGCGGUAAUACGGAGGGUGCAAGCGUUAUCCGGAAUCAUUGGGUUUAAAGGGUCCGCAGGCGGUCUUAUAAGUCAGUGGUGAAAGCCUACAGCUCAACUGUAGAACUGCCAUUGAUACUGUAGGACUUGAAUUCGAUCGAAGUGGGCGGAAUGUGACAUGUAGCGGUGAAAUGCUUAGAUAUGUCACAGAACACCGAUAGCGAAGGCAGCUCACUAGGUCUGGAUUGACGCUCAGGGACGAAAGCGUGGGGAGCAAAC
rnacentral:rRNA from 1 species